UACGUAGGUGGCAAGCGUUGUCCGGAUUUAUUGGGUUUAAAGGGUGCGUAGGCGGUCUUCUAAGUCAGUUGUGAAAUACUUCAGCUUAACUGGAGAGGUGCAAUUGAUACUGGAAGACUUGAGUACUGAUGAGGUAGGCGGAAUGGACGGUGUAGCGGUGAAAUGCUUAGAUAUCGUCCAGAACACCGAUAGCGAAGGCAGCUUACUAAGGAGUAACUGACGCUGAGGCACGAAAGCGUGGGGAUCAAACAGG
rnacentral:rRNA from 1 species